rnacentral:rRNA from 1 species
UAUGUGAUCGUCUCUCGCAUAUCAAUAAGCGGAGGAAAAGAAACUAACAAGGAUUCCCCUAGUAACGGCGAGUGAAGCGGGAAGAGCUCAAAUUUGAAAUCUUAAAGGGUUUCCCUUUACGAGUUGUAGUUUAAAGAAGUGUUUUCUGUUGAGGUUUUGGUAAAAGUUCUUUGGAAUAGGACAUCAUAGAGGGUGAGAAUCCCGUAUUUGACCUUUACUUUCAACUUUGUGAUACACUUUCAAAGAGUCGGAUUGUUUGGGAAUGCAGUCCAAAAUGGGUGGUAAAUUUCAUCUAAAGCUAAAUAUUGGCGAGAGACCGAUAGCGAACAAGUACCGUGAGGGAAAGAUGAGAAGAACUUUGAAAAGAGAGUUAAACAGUACGUGAAAUUGUCAAAAGGGAAGCGUUUGACACCAGUGUUGUUUUUCUGAAAAUCAAUUAAAGAACUGUUUAUGCUAAGUUGUUUAGACUUUAUCAGCUAUCUGUUUAGUUUUAGGCUUUUCUUUAAUGCACUUUUCAGUUAACAAGUCAACAUCAAUUUCUUUUGCUGUAAAAAAGCUUGAGGAAGGUGGCUUGAGAUUCGUCUUAAGUGUUUAUAGCCUCUUGCCUAUGCAGUCGGAGAGAUUGAGGUCUGCAGCGUAGAUCCUUCGGGGCUAAAUGCAUUUGUGCUAAGUUAUAGCAUUUUAUAGACAACUUGUUGACUAUGAUUUGUCUUGUAGCUUACUCGCUUAUGUUAUUUUACCUACGCUUAGGAUGUUGAUCUACAGAGCGAGAGU